rnacentral:pre_miRNA from 1 species
CCUGCGUCACUCAUGGUAUUUGAAGAUGCGGUUGACCAUGGUGUGUACGCUUUAUGUGUGACGUAGGACACAUGGUCUACUUCUUCUCAAUAUCACAUCUCGCC